rnacentral:misc_RNA from 1 species
AUUUGUAUUAUUGUAGAGUGUGGUAUGGGUGAGUGAUAGAUGAGUGAUAAGCUGACUGGGUGAAUAUAGUGUGGAACUGGGCUACUGAGUGGAUGAUUUGUCAUUAAUCGCUGAGAGAGAAUCAUUGAACAUUCAGUUUGGGAAAGACUUGGUAGAAGUGUAAGAGACUUUGUGGAAGUUCGGGUUAUUGUUUAACCCAGCUUGUGUGGUAUCUGUUGAGACCAACAACGGGAUGAGCAGCGAGGGGCAAUGUUAGAGUUUGACCAGGUGAUUGGGCUGCGGAAGUAUGUGAAGAAGGGACGAGGAAACUGACGUUGAUGUUAAUUCAUGGAAGUUGGGUACAGCUGAAGUGGAAAUUGAAGUUCCACAUGUGGGCUACUUAUUAGCCAUGAUGUGUGGUGGUGAAUAACAAGUGUAUUGUUAUCGUGCAGCAUCUCGGUGAAUAACAAGUGUAUUGUUAUUGUGCAGCAGAAACAUAUUGUGUAAAUAUGGCUGUAGUAUUUAGAGCUGAUCUGAAAUGGAGGGUGCUAACUAAUGUUAGUACAUAAUUUAGUUAGAACAAUAUAUGUAUAUAAAAGUUGAUCACGAGGAAGUGAAUCAUAAGGAUUGUGUUAUGAACUGAAACAUUGUAUAUUGAACUGUGUGGUUUUAGUAUAUUAUUUUGUGUGUUGUGAUACGUGAUAUUUUUAUAUGAAAUUAUGUGUAAAGUGGUGAUAAUGUAUGUUUAUUAUAUAUGAGAAGUGUGAGUGUUGAGGGAGUGCUGGUGAUUAGUGGUGUGUGAGAGGGAUAUAAUUAGGGUUAGUAAGUAGGAGUGGAGAAUGAAUGUGAUUGUUAUUUGUGUGCUGUAAAUAAAUGUAAUAUAAUUUA